rnacentral:rRNA from 1 species
AAUGAACGUUGGCGGCAUGGAUUAGGCAUGCAAGUCGAGCGAGAAGAGUUUUGAAGCUUGCUUUAGAACUCGGACAGCGGCAAAAGGGAGAGUAACGCGUAGUUAUGUGCCCUAGGGUCCGGAAUAGCCACGGGAAACUGUGGGUAAUGCCGGAUAAUAUCCCCGGAUCAAAGGUGUGAUUCCGCCCUAGGAGCAGACUGCGUCCUACUAGCUAGUUGGUGGGGUAAUGGCCCACCAAGGCAAUGAUGGGUAGCGGGUGUGAGAGCAUGACCCGUCUCACUGGGACUGAGACACUGCCCAGACACCUACGGGUGGCUGCAGUCGAGAAUCUUCGGCAAUGGGCGAAAGCCUGACCGAGCGAUGCCGCGUGCGGGAUGAAGGCCCUCGGGUUGUAAACCGCUGUCGUAGGGGAGGAAGGUUCCGUGAAGAGCGGGACUUGGCCUAUCCUAGGAGGAAGUACGGGCUAAGUUCGUGCCAGCCGCCGCGGUAA